ensembl:lncRNA
GUGCAUCCUGCUGAUUUCGAUUGUGCAACAGUUGUUUAUCAAUCUGGUCAUUUUCCACUAUUCGCAGGCACAAAAUUAAUUAAGUUUUAGUGGAGAAUGCGGGCGUUGAUCCCGCUACUUCUCGCAUGCUAAGCGACCGCUCUACCAUUUGAGCUAAUUCCCCAACACAUAAUGCAAACUUGUGUACUUGACCUAAGUGCCCCCCUGCAUUUAACGCCUUUACAAACUUCCCAGGAAAAUGAAAAACAUGCUACAAUAUUGACAAUUAUCUAAUCAUCCUAUGAAAACAAAAGAAAUAGGACGAGGUGGCCGAGUGGUUAAGAUGAUGGACUGCUAAACCAUUGUGCUCUGCACGCAUGGGUUCGAAUUCCAUUCUCGUCGAAUUUACCUGAUGCUCUCUUACCAUGUCAGUGUUUGCAGAAAUGUCGUCAAGAAAACCGCAUUGAUGCAUUCAACGAGUCAUUUUGCAACGACACGCAGGUGCAUCCUGCUGAUUUCGAUUGUGCAGCAGUUGUUUAUCAAUCUGGUCAUUUUCCACUAUUCGCAGGCACAAAAUUAAUUAAGUUUUAGUGGAGAAUGCGGGCGUUGAUCACGCUACUUCUCGCAUGCUAAGCGAGCGCUCUACCAUUUGAGCUAAUUCCCCAACACAUAAUGCAAACUUGUGUACUUGACCUA